AACGAACGCUGGCGGCAUGCCUAACACAUGCAAGUCGAACGAGACCUUCGGGACUAGUGGCGCACGGGUGCGUAACGCGUGGGAACCUGCCCUUAGGUUCGGAAUACCUCCCCGAAAGGGGUGCUAAUACCGGAUAAUGUCUUCGGACAAAAGAUUGAUCGCCUUUGGAUGGGCCCGCGUUGGAUUAGCUAGUUGGUAUGGUAAAAGCCUACCAAGGAGACGAUCCAUAGCUGGUCUGAGAGGAUGAUCAGCCACACUUGGACUGGGACACGGCCCAGACUCCUACGGGAGGCAGCAGUGGGGAAUAUAGGACAACCGGCGAGAGGCUGAAGCAGCUAUGCUUGGUGAGUGAUGAAGGCCUUAGAGAUGUAAAGCUCUUUUACCCGGGAUGAUAAUGACAGUACCGGGAGAAUAAGCACCGGCUAACUUCGUG
rnacentral:rRNA from 1 species